AAAUUGAAGAGUUUGAUCAUGGCUCAGAUUGAACGCUGGCGGCAGGCCUAACACAUGCAAGUCGAACGGUAACAGGAAACAGCUUGCUGUUUCGCUGACGAGUGGCGGACGGGUGAGUAAUGUCUGGGAAACUGCCCGAUGGAGGGGGAUAACUACUGGAAACGGUAGCUAAUACCGCAUAACGUCGCAAGACCAAAGAGGGGGACCUUCGGGCCUCUUGCUAUCGGAUGUGCCCAGAUGGGAUUAGCUAGUAGGUGGGGUAACGGCUCACCUAGGCGACGAUCCCUAGCUGGUCUGAGAGGAUGACCAGCCACACUGGAACUGAGACACGGUCCAGACUCCUACGGGAGGCAGCAGUGGGGAAUAUUGCACAAUGGGCGCAAGCCUGAUGCAGCCAUGCCGCGUGUAUGAAGAAGGCCUUCGGGUUGUAAAGUACUUUCAGCGGGGAGGAAGGGAGUAAAGUUAAUACCUUUACU
rnacentral:rRNA from 1 species